CUUCAUAUCGAUCGGUUUCUCUGGCCUACAAUUGAAGAACCCUAGACAAACCUCAAAACAAAGUGAAAAUAAAGUGUUUGCUAGAACCCUCAACGUCUUCUUCCAUUGCUAAAAAAUCAUACCAGCCGCUUGUCCUGUAACCCGUCCGAAUCCGUCUUCUUCGUCUUCACAACAACACGAUCCUAAGCAGGUGUUAAGUUAACACUACAUGGUCUUCUUCACCACUGACUCUAUCUACAAAUCAAAGUUGGUUCGAGGGUUUUGCCACCUAUAUAAUGGUGAAUAGGCGGUGUAAGCGACAUGGGGGCUGCAAUCACUAAAAAGGACCGCGUAUAACAGUCUCUCUAGAAUUUGGGGUUUUCGUGCACAAUUUGGGAGCUGAAUUUUAUCUUAUGAAAGAUUAAGAGAUCAAUUUCAGAUAGCGAGAAUAGGUGAUUACAUCUAGAGCAGGGGGUGAUCUAAAUUUGGCUUCAAAAAAAGCCCAAGAAGCAGGCAUAAUUAUACUUUCCGUUGUCAGUUUCAUUUUAACAAAUAAGUGUUGUUGAACAUGUUUGUUAGUAAAUAGAGUUACUAAAUUAUAUUUAAUUCUUUUUUGUAUCAUUUUUUUGUUCAACUUGUGACAGGAAGUGUUAAGAUGAGUAAUAGUGACUACUUUUUGGCAAUACUAGAACCAACAAUGUCUUAAGCAUCCGUGUGUAAUGAUGCUUUGGUGAGGGGAAAUUAUCAUGCGUUGUUUUCAGUUGCACAAGAUUUGAGUGAAGUAAGAAGUUUUUUUUGUAGAUGUGUGUACAUUUUUUUAUGAUUGUGAAUUGGAUGUUGUUGUGUAGUGUUUUACUUAGAAGUAGCAAAAUUUGUUAAGUUUGUUGACUACCAGAGCUGUAUACUUUAUCCUUUUAUUGUUCGUUAACGUGAUGAAGAAAGAAGACGUCACCUGAGGGCUAAAGUUCAGCGAUGCUCCAAAGAAAGAUGAUGUAAUGAUUUGCGUGGGAAACAAAGUUUUGCCCAUUAAUGAAUCGACCACGACAUCUUCAUCCUAAAAAAACCCGAAUUCGGUUCUUGAUACGAUGAACGAAAAGGGAGAUAAACUAUUUCUAAAAUGAAAAGAGUUGUUGAGAUGGGUCAUUGUUGCAAAAUCCGAGAAGGGUGGAAAAUACAUUGUUAGAAAGGGUGUCUUGGUUUAGAAACAAAGCGAGGCUGAAAAUGAUACAAGCUGAUGACCAAAUGGCCAAUGAAUCUCCAAAUAUUAGUUUCAGAUGGGAAGUAGAAAGUUGUCCGACAUUUCCGUACACACUACCGGUUUCUUUGAUGAAUAAGGACGGCUAACAUUUUGACAUGUUGUUAGGAUGGUAGUCUUUAAAAAUGUUGUAUCUGUUUGUUUGUUUGUUUUUCUUUUGUUGUAACAUUGUGUUGUGUUGCUUCCGAACCCCGCCGCAUCGCGGCGGGUCGUAAUUCUAGUUACUCCAUAGAAGUCCCAAUAGAAGUUUACUAACAUGGCUCUUCCAUCGACGAUAAUAAGCAACAAAAAUAUGCAAUACAAAUUGUACCUUGUGCUUUGAGACUUAAAAAAAACUUCAUUUUUUUCUUUUAA